UUGACAAAUUAUUUUCAUUCAAACACCUGUUUGACUUAACAUCGUGGAUAAAUAAAAUAUAGAAUUAAUUAGAAAUUUAAUUUGGAAACUCUCUAAAUUGGACUUUGUAUAUUGAGUAGAUUACAAAAGACUAAGAAUUGUAAACAUUUCCAGAUCACUAUCACUAUUUAAGGAGUCAACAUAUUGAUUUUAAAAGAAAUUUCACCUGUUUAAAUACAAUAAUUAUCACAACAAUGUUGAAAAAAUUGAAACAUAUUUAAUAUUAAAUAUAACUGAAGUAUAUAAAUCUACAUUCUGUUUUCUGAUCUCACAUAAGUACAUGAUCCUGUCACUGAAUGAUCUGUCCUACAACAAUUAUAAUACAUUUAACUCUUUCUGUGGCAUAGGCCUACAUUUAAGCAUUUCCCCACUCCGAUUAGUAGAGAUCAUCAAAAAAGGAAAAUGAUGCGAAUAUCGGUAUUGACUGUUUUCAUAUUCACUUCUGUCCUAGCACAGGUAUGCGUAGGAAAAUUUGACCAAGAUCUAAAGCCGACCAACGUUGAAAAUGAAAAUUAUAAUAUGAGAGAUGCAAUGUCAUUGAAGGAACUACUUGAGGCAGCGACUGCGAAUGUGAUGAAGAAAGACAGAGGGGUCCCGGAAUGUAACAAGUUAACCUGUCUUACUGAAGCUUGUUGUCCAUUCUUAACUUAACUUAUUCAUCUGUGGUUUCAUGUAUAGAGGACUAAAACAGUCAUUUACACCACACGUUAGGCUACACUAAAGAUUUGUUUGUGGUACUUUUAGUACUGAUAAUGAUAUUCAAUUAGAUUAGAUUUGCAGCGCUUCGUAUCUGCAACGAAAGGCGCUUUACAAAUGUUCUGAUUGGAUUGGAUGCCAACACAUUUAAUUAUAAACUAAUGGUAUUAAGUUCUUUUGAGCAAGAUUUAUCUUUUAUCUAGGCCUAUCAAAAUACCAGUAAUAUGAGAGAACAACAAUUAAAAAUGUUUUGUCACUGAAUGAGAAGCUUGAGGUAAGAUUAAAAAUGAUAAAUUGAUGACAUUUUACGCCAGGUAAAAACCACUGUUUCUAACGUUUUAUCACGACCGAUAAUGAAAUAUUAUAGUAUCUUGUAAUAACAUGAAUUAUGAUAAUAAACAUAUCUAUUAAAGAAA